AUUUUAGUCGCUCCAACAUUUUUAGGAAUUAGAGGAAUGAAUGUUGCAUUGAAACUUUUCUCAAAAUUCUGAUUGGAGUGGAACUGUGAAAGGGUGUUAAUUAUGUCCUUCAAAACCUCCCAAAAAGUCUCGAAGAAAAUCAUUGGGAAGCCAUCCAGUCCAGGACCCUUCUCCUUAGCACACAUCUUAAUACUUUUUAGGAUUUCUUGUUCCUCGAAAGGUCUUUGCAACCAUACUUGUUCCUCUCCAUUUAUCAUAUUAACA
rnacentral:misc_RNA from 1 species